rnacentral:rRNA from 1 species
UACAGAGGGGGCAAGCGUUAUUCGGAAUUAUUGGGCGUAAAGGGCGCGUAGGCGGCCAUUCAAGUGACGGGUGAAAGCCCUCGGCUUAACCGAGGAACUGCCUGUCAGACUGGAUGGCUUGAGACCGGGAGAGGUGAGUGGAAUUCCCAGUGUAGCGGUGAAAUGCGUAGAUAUUGGGAGGAACACCAGUGGCGAAGGCGGCUCGCUGGACCGGUUCUGACGCUGAGGCGCGAAAGCGUGGGGAGCAAACGGG